rnacentral:rRNA from 1 species
UCCCCUAGUAACGGCGAGUGAAGCGGGAUGAGCUCAAAUUUAAAAUCUGGCUGGUUUACCAGUCCGAGUUGUAGUUUAAAGAAGCGUUUUCGGUGGCAGGCCGGGUAUAAAUCCUUUGGAACAGGGUAUCAUAGAGGGUGAGAAUCCCGUCUUUGACUCGGCUGAUGUUACUAUGUGAUACGUUUUCAAAGAGUCGAGUUGUUUGGGAAUGCAGCUCAAAAUGGGUGGUAAAUUUCAUCUAAGGCUAAAUAUUGGCGAGAGACCGAUAGCGAACAAGUACCGUGAGGGAAAGAUGAAAAGAACUUUGAAAAGAGAGUUAAACAGUGCGUGAAAUUGUUGAAAGGGAAACGUUUGACACCAGCUAUGUAGGCGGAAAAUCAGUCAAGCGCAGUGAGGGGCUGGUGUUUGUCCGGACCGCAAGGCCGGCGGAUAUCUCAUCUUUGCUGUGGGUGAUGCACUUUUUCGUUCGCAGGUCAACAUCAGUUUCGCUUGCUGGACAAAACCCCGAGAGAAGGUAGCAGCUUUGGCUGUGUUAUAGCUCUGGGGCGAUACAGUGGGUGGGACUGAGGAUUCGCAGUGUGUGCUCUCGGGCAAGGCUGACUGGGUGCUCUGGGGUCGUUUGGCGUACAAUGCUUGCA